rnacentral:ribozyme from 15 species
GCGCACAUAUACAUACAGCACCCAGGAAGAGAAAAGGCAGAGUGGUUUGUGUUCUAUGUUCUUUGUGUGUUUUUGGUGUUGUUGUUGUUGCUAUUUUUUUGUUUUGCUUUGUUGUU